CAGCUGCGCGUUGAGCACAUAGCGGACUAUUCUUUCGCCUUUUACUAAAGAAUACCGUGUGCUUGUCGCAAUUUAAGCAGCAUACUAAUCUUUUUGGAGGGUUUUUCUAUAUUAGAAAAGC